GACGUAGGGCGCAAGCGUGUCCGGAAUUAUUGGGCGUAAAGCGCGUGUAGGCGGCUUGGCAAGUCGGGUGUGAAAGCCCUCAGCUCAACUGAGGAAGUGCGCCCGAAACUGCUUUGCUUGAGUGCUGGAGAGGGUCGCGGAAUUCCCCAAGUAGAGGUGAAAUUCGUAGAUAUGGGGAGGAACACCGGUGGCGAAGGCAGGCGACCUGGACGCGAGCUGAACUGACGCUGGAGACGCGAAAGCGUGGGUAGCAAACAGG
rnacentral:rRNA from 1 species